UGCCUCGAUGACAUUUUCAUUGUUAAAAAUGGACUAUGGAAACAAGAUCAGUCAACAUGUGUGAGUGCACCUUCACCAAUCCCACAAAUGCCUCUGCUCUCACGAAUUUAUUACCCUUGGGAGAGCCUCAGCAAGACAGUACUUGAUGCAUUGGAAGCAGACAAUGUUCUGCUUCCCUCUCAACGACAGGAAGUGGCACACAUGGCAGCGUCAUGGCCCUGCAUAUCCAUUGAAGGUGGGAGGCACUCCUGAUAUUUAUUCACAGGCACCUGGUUGGUAUCAUUGAGAACGAAGGGAGCCAGCAGGCAUAAAAAAAAUCAAGAGGGUUACAUACAUAAAUGCGUGAGGCAGUGAGGGCAGCAGAUGAAUAUAGCAAGAAGUGGGAACAUCUCAUGUGAUACAUAGCGGUCAAAUGUUCCGCCACCAAAGUCAUGCACAAGUUAUUUGUAGUCUUUCCAGUAAUUUCCAAAAUAAAGGGUUAUUAUUGAAAAGCUAUCCUCUCUGGACACACAAAACAUGAGAAUUGAACAAUUAACAAUGAAACAAAAUCUCUGGACAUCUCGCAUUGAUCAUAAGGACUGUAAAGGAAAACAACAGGAAACCAGCUAGCAUCAUGGUUGACAGCAUUUAUCCCUGUUUUAAAGCGGAAUCAU